rnacentral:rRNA from 1 species
UACCUACGGGAGGCAGCAGUGGGGAAUAUUGAACAAUGGGGGAAACCCUGAUGCAGCGACGCCGCGUGAGUGAAGAAGUAUUUCGGUACGUAAAGCUCUAUCAGCAGGGAAGAAAAAAAGUCCUUUGGACUUUGGACGGUACCUGACUAAGAAGCCCCGGCUAACUACGUGCCAGCAGCCGCGGUAAUACGUAGGGGGCAAGCGUUAUCCGGAUUUACUGGUUGUAAAGGGAGCGUAGACGGCAGCGCAAGUCUGGAGUGAAAUGCCGGGGCCCAACCCCGGAACUGCUUUGGAAACUGUGCAGC